UGUAGCACUGGAUGGUUCGAUAUAAUUCUGACCUACAAGUUGUUUGGUAGAAUCACACAUACUUUAUGUGACAUCCAAAAUAAGGUAAAUCUCAGUUAUGUCAAUGCAUUGAGCAGAAAAUGGCAGAUUUAUGGAAGUUCUGUAGACAUGGUAGAGAGUAGAUAAUACAAAAGCAACUGUAUGAAUCAUUAUAAAGAAUGGUGCUUAUAUAAAGAGUAGUGGGCUUUGUGCGCCAUGCAUUGGAAACAAAACUUCAACUGCUUCUCUAUGCCUUGUUCUAUGCACUUUUUCAUGAAAAGAAAGACUAUAAGGUCUUAUAAAAAGUAUUCUCACUUUUUUUCCCCCUUCAGAGUACCCCAAAGCAUAUGGUACUAUCAGCCUGAGGUUUCCCCUCUAGCACUUCUGAAUUCCCUGCUGCCUUAGUUAGACCACAUAAACUAAAUAAUGUAAAGAUGGUUUAAUACCUUCUGGGUCCUCUUCCUGACAUUAAUUUUACUACUUAAAAGGCAGUCUUUCAUAAACACAAAGUUAAAAAUGUAAGUAAUACCAUGCACACAUGCAAAUGUUUUCAUGUGGUCUGUGUGUCACCAAGGUCUCUGUUUGCCUGAGAAACCGUCCUUUUGGAAAUCCUGUGUAGCACAGAAGGACUUAAGAAGAGGUACAGGCCUGUGGAGAAUCAUAAAAUAUGGCUGUGUGAUGCUGAUCUCAUUUUGGAGGCUCAAUCCAAUAGACUUCUCAGAGAAGGAUUUUUUUAAAGCCUGAUGCUCUGGCUGGCACAGAGCCCUGAAGCAUCAUUCUGGAUGGCUACUACAAGGAUACCAUACCUCUGUGAGGUUGCACUACGUCUUUGUAGAAUAUCAAACCUACUUCCAAGGCUGGUCUUACAUUCUAACUGGCUUUCAGUGGCCUGAAAUACAGAGAGGUUUGGGAUGAGGAUCCAACCAAAGAGUUGUAAUGCUCUCUUAGUGGAUCAUCUACACCGAGACAAAACCUGUCUGCACAGAGGACAGGGCUCUCAGGG